CCUACGGGCGGCAGCAGUGAGGAAUAUUGGUCAAUGGACGAGAGUCUGAACCAGCCAAGUAGCGUGAAGGAUGACUGCCCUAUGGGUUGUAAACUUCUUUUAUAUGGGAAUAAAACGUUCCACGUGUGGGAUUUUGUAUGUACCAUAUGAAUAAGGAUCGGCUAACUCCGUGCCAGCAGCCGCGGUAAUACGGAGGAUCCGAGCGUUAUCCGGAUUUAUUGGGUUUAAAGGGAGCGUAGGUGGAUUGUUAAGUCAGUUGUGAAAGUUUGCGGCUCAACCGUAAAAUUGCAGUUGAAACUGGCAGUCUUGAGUACAGUAGAGGUGGGCGGAAUACGUGGUGUAGCGGUGAAAUGCUUAGAUAUCACGAAGAACUCCGAUUGCGAAGGCAGUUCACUGGACUGCAACUGACACUGAGGCUCGAAAGUGUGGGUAUCAAACAGGAUUAGAGACCCCUGUAGUC
rnacentral:rRNA from 1 species